UCCUAAUAAAAUGUAUUAGUUUACGCUGACGAUGUUGACAUGAUAACUCGGUUACUAUUGUGUGUGAAGGAAGUGUUCUAAGAAUUGGAGUCAAUGCUAAGGAGAAAUGGAAACUUUAUGGGGAUAGUGAGCAUCUAUUUUACGGCAGUGACGAUUGCGGAACGGCUUGGCUAACGGCAAAAUGCUUCUUUGAUGCACAUCCAAUUCACUCAAUGCUUAUAUGAAAGAAAUGCUUACCUAUAAAUUGUACCACCGAAAUUGGUUAACAUCAUCGAACGCAAAAUCCUUAACGAUUCGAUUUGAACUUUAAUGUGUUUAUUCUGUAAAAAGAAAAAAUAAAAGUUAG